GUGGAGCAGGUGUGGCCGGGGCUCUGCUGUACUCUGGUCUCACGCAGGCUGGCCUCUCGCCCAGGAACACGCUGCUCAUCAUGCUGGUCGUCCCUGUAGCCAUGGUGAUCAGCUAUUUUUUUCCUGCUAGUCUUCCCCUCAUCCUUCCCACAGUGGAAGUGCAGGGAGGUGGAGUCUGUGAGGGGCAGAGACUCACAGAGCAGGCAGCCCCUAUUGGAUGACACUGAUGAAGAGGAGGAGCGGGAGAAAGGUGCUGAAGAAGACAAGGUCACUGGACCACUGACAUGUAUUGAGAAACUACACAUCAUUAAAGUGAGUUUGAAGUCACUUUAGAAAAGUGGACUUGGUCUGUACCAUUUUCAGAUUAAAAAGUUAUAUUCUCUCAAAGUUGGCCCAGACCAGGG